AACGCUAGCUACAGGCUUAACACAUGCAAGUCGAGGGGCAGCAUGAACUUAGCUUGCUAAGUUUGAUGGCGACCGGCGCACGGGUGAGUAACACGUAUCCAACCUGCCGAUGACUCGGGGAUAGCCUUUCGAAAGAAAGAUUAAUACCCGAUGGCAUAGUUCUUCCGCAUGGUAGAACUAUUAAAGAAUUUCGGUCAUCGAUGGGGAUGCGUUCCAUUAGGUUGUUGGCGGGGUAACGGCCCACCAAGCCUUCGAUGGAUAGGGGUUCUGAGAGGAAGGUCCCCCACAUUGGAACUGAGACACGGUCCAAACUCCUACGGGAGGCAGCGGUGAGGAAUAUUGGUCAAUGGACGAGAGUCUGAACCAGCCAAGUAGCGUGAAGGAUGACUGCCCUAUGGGUUGUAAACUUCUUUUAUACGGGAAUAAAGUGAGGCACGUGUGCCUUUUUGUAUGUACCGUAUGAAUAAGGAUCGGCUAACUCCGUGCCAGCAGCCGCGGUAAUACGGAGGAUCCGAGCGUUAUCCGGAUUUAUUGGGUUUAAAGGGAGCGUAGGCGGACGCUUAAGUCAGUUGUGAAAGUUUGCGGCUCAACCGUAAAAUUGCAGUUGAUACUGGGUGUCUUGAGUACAGUAGAGGCAGGCGGAAUUCGUGGUGUAGCGGUGAAAUGCUUAGAUAUCACGAAGAACUCCGAUUG
rnacentral:rRNA from 1 species